GUGGUGUUAAGGAGGAUCCGUUUAUCCCGAGGUCGGGCGGUGCGUCCAAGUCCUUCUUGAACGGGGCCAGAGCCCAAAGAGGGUGCUUGGCCCGAAGCGACCGCUGCCGAUCGCGGGAGGAUCGCUCGUCAGAGUCGGGUUGCUUGAGAGUGCAGCCCUAAGUGGGUGGUAAACUCCAUCUAAGGCUAAAUAUGACCACGAGACCGAUAGCGAACAAGUACCGUGAGGGAAAGUUGAAAAGCACUUUGAAGAGAGAGUUCAAGAGUACGUGAAACCGUUCAGGGGUAAACCUGAGAAACCCGAAAGGUCGAAAGGGGAAAUUCAUUCGCGUCUCGAGCGUCGGAGCGAGACGGUUGAGCGACGAACGGCGUACGCGUCGUCCGCGCCUUCCGUUUCGCGUUCGAUUUCGAACGCGUGCACUUUUCCCCUAGUAGGACGUCGCGAUCCGUUGGGUGUCGGUUUAAGGCUCGCGGUGGAGACCGAGCGCGCGUUUUCGAACGUCUCGCGCUCGGACCCGCGGUGUCCCGGCCGACWAGCUCGACGGUAUACAGAUGGCGCGGGGCCGCUACUAAUUAGUUAGCGUUCGGCCCGCGGCAAGCGCGUACGGUGCUGGCGGCGAUCGGACCUGGUGCCGAUCCCGUCCCCGGACGACUGUUGGCCGCGGUGUUCUCGKACGGACCUCGUCUUUUGAAACGCCGAUCUGCGACGCUAUAGCUUUGGGUACUUUCAGGACCCGUCUUGAAACACGGACCAAGGAGUCUAGCAUGUGCGCGAGUCAUUGGGACCUAAAUAAACCUAAAGGCCCAAUGAAAGUGAAGGUCCGCCUCGCGCGGACCGA
rnacentral:rRNA from 1 species